rnacentral:rRNA from 1 species
CUAUCAACAACGGAUCUCUUGGCAUCCCACUCGAUGAAGAACGCAGCGAAUUGCGAUAAGUAAUGUGAAUUGCAGAAUUACAGUGAAUCAUCGAAUCUUUUGAACGCCCCCUUGCACCUUCCAGUCCUCUGGAGGGUAUGCCCGGUUGAGUAUUAUG